rnacentral:rRNA from 1 species
AGAGUUUGAUCCUGGCUCAGAUUGAACGCUGGGGGCAUGCUUUACACAUGCAAGUCGGACGGCAGCACAGAGAAGCUUGCUUCUUGGGUGGCGAGUGGCGAACGGGUGAGUAACAUAUCGGAACGUACCGAGUAAUGGGGGAUAACUAAUCGAAAGAUUAGCUAAUACCGCAUAUUCUCUGAGGAGGAAAGCAGGGGACCUUCGGGCCUUGCGUUAUUCGAGCGGCCGAUAUCUGAUUAGCUAGUUGGUGGGGUAAAGGCCUACCAAGGCGACGAUCAGUAGCGGGUCUGAGAGGAUGAUCCGCCACACUGGGACUGAGACACGGCCCAGACUCCUACGGGAGGCAGCAG